rnacentral:rRNA from 1 species
AUUGAACGCUGGCGGCAUGCCUUACACAUGCAAGUCGAACGGUAACAGGUCUUCGGAUGCUGACGAGUGGCGAACGGGUGAGUAAUACAUCGGAACGUGCCUAGUAGUGGGGGAUAACUACUCGAAAGAGUGGCUAAUACCGCAUGAGAUCUACGGAUGAAAGCAGGGGAUCGCAAGAACUUGUGCUACCAGAGCGGCCGAUGGCAGAUUAGGUAGUUGGUGGGAUAAAAGCUUACCAAGCCGACGAUCUGUAGCUGGUCUGAGAGGACGAUCAGCCACACUGGGACUGAGACACGGCCCAGACUCCUACGGGAGGCAGCAGUGGGGAAUUUUGGACAAUGGGCGAAAGCCUGAUCCAGCAAUGCCGCGUGCAGGAUGAAGGCCUUCGGGUUGUAAACUGCCUUUGUACGGAACGAAAAGCCCCGGGUUAAUACCCUGGGGUCAUGACGGUACCGUAAGAAUAAGCACCGGCUAACUACGUGCCAGCCGCCGCAGUAA